UACGGGGGGAGCAAGCGUUGUUCGGAUUUACUGGGCGUAAAGGGCGCGUAGGCGGCCUCUGCAAGUCGACUGUGAAAUCUCCGGGCUUAACCCGGAAAGGUCAGCCGAUACUGCAGGGCUAGAGUGCAGAAGGGGCAACUGGAAUUCUCGGUGUAGCGGUGAAAUGCGUAGAGAUGUGGAGGAACACCGAUGGCGAAGGCAGCCCCCUGGGCUA
rnacentral:rRNA from 1 species